CAUCAGAUGACUGAAAGCAAGUAAUGGUCUCUUAAACCAAAAAAUGGUACGUUAGCAAAUACCCCUGAUGA
rnacentral:tRNA from 1 species